UAUCAUAGGCAUUUAUAUUUCAGGAAAAAAAAAGCAGUAUAUAUAGGAUUUGGUACUAUUUGUGGUUUCUGGCAUCACUUGGGGUUCUUAGAACGUCUCCCUCUUGGAGAUGGCUAUGUGACAACAGGCAGAGGAUUGAGCAUCUCGAAACUCUGGAGAAUGCUGUAUCUAGAGAAGGGGUAGUUUAGGGGGUAGAGUCACGGGCGAUGGGAGAGGCACUUCCGGGGCUUCCACAGACCACCAAGGCUUUAUUUCCUAACCUGGGGAGUAUUGGCACAUAAAUGUUUGCUUCAUUACUAUUGGAAUUAUGCGCGUUGAAUAUAUUCUUCUGAUUCUAGUUCUCAAUUUCCAAAAAAAAAAAGUCAAAUUUGAAUUACUUAGUUCUGGCCUUUCAAUAAUGCAGGCUGUUGGUGCCCAGCUCAUUCAACUGUGGAUUCUCUUUCAGAAGAUCUAAAUCUAGCCCAGAAAUCUAUAUGUUAAUAUCUUCCCUGGUGAUUUUUGGUGUUUCUGUCACUUGAAACUGCUGCAAGUUGGAGUGAGCAAGAGUUGGUGUGAUACCUCUUAGUGUAGAGACAGAUGCAGGGAGGGCCGAGAGCAUAAAGCAGCCCACCCUGGCACAUCUGCAGACAGCCACCCCCAUCCCCCAAAUCCUUAAGUUCCCUUUAUACAAAAGUCUAGUAUGUAACUUAUAUCUCUGUAUCCUUUCUAUAACUUGAAAAUGUGGAGUCCUGUAAUGCAAACUCCCAGUGCCUCUCAGCUGCAAUAGAGGCCCUCCAACUUGUAAAUCCGCAAGGCAUUGAACAUCUGGACAGAGCAUGUGCCUUGGAAAAAGUGUGCUUCUUGGUAUCCAUGGUGUCUGCAGCAAAGCAAAACUGUGCAAGGGGUGGAAUAUGGAAACACGUUGGACAGAACCCUUAUUAAAGGGUGUAAAGUGUCACUGAGAGCCUCUGCUCUUUUACUGCAGGAGGGUUAUAAAUAUUAAUAAGGGCCUUCGUGAGUUCUCUCAUCACAUGGGUUUCCCCCAACUGUUUUUUCCAUAAAGUCUUAAGUUGCGAAUCCUCCUGGUAUUUGGAAAGGAAUACAGUAAAAUCAGGAAAUAGAGCAGAAUCGGUCCACAUACACGCCAGCCUUUGGGUCCCAAGUCACUCUCAAAGAUGUGUCCCCACCCGCAAGUCUGCUCACUUUGAAGCCUUCCUCAAGCAUUCUUCCAAGCCCUGGGAUUCUCUUUGGUAUUAGAAACUGACGUAAGCCAACAUGUCAGAGUCCUGGUAACUCUCGGGGGCCUCCAACUAUCAGAGGUGGGCAAGCUGAAUUCUCUCCCCUUCAUGCUGGCUACCACAUGGGCAGAGUUCCUACUGCGGCUCAGUGGGUUAAGAACCCAGCCGGUAUCCAUGAGGAUGCAGGUUCAAUCCCUGGCCUUGCUGCGAGCUGUGGUGUAGGUUGCAGAUGUGGCUUGGAUCUGACAUUGCUAUGGCUGUGGCAUAGGCUGGCAGCUACAGCUUUGAUUUGUCUUCUAGCCUGCGGACGUCCAUAGGCCGUGGGUGCAGCCCCAAAAAGAAAAAAAAAGUUGAUCAGUGCAAAAUUGGCAUGCUGAAAAUAUUCCUGCCAUCUCCUCCUAAAGCUCAGUGAAGUGUCCUCGCCCUAUCUCUUGAUGCACUUUCGUGGGGAAUGUAAGGAUGUGUGGACAGUAGGAUUGUACUGAGAAAGCAGGAUUACAUUCUUUGCUAAGUGUGUGCAAUGGGAGGCAGGAAGGAGUUGCAGGUCCUUUCUGAGUUCCAGACUAAAAGGUUCUGAAGGUCUUAGAUGGCCGGGCUUGCCAAAUUCUUAUGCCCCAUUUCAGUGAGAACAGAGAUACCUGUGUGUUCCUGGCCAGUCACAUAUUUUAGACUAGACUCAUUUCACCAGUGGCAAGGUAGUUUUGAUGUACUGCUUUUAGGGGGUAGAAACUCAUUCCCAGAGGCUGUGCUCACUUCACUCCUUUGCUGGCAGAGGAGUAGAGGAGGGGAGAUGCUCUCCCCCAGUCCUCAAACAGGAGACAUGGAGAAGCUGGAGCUUCCUUAGGGGCCACUGGCCUUCCCCUGUGGGAUUUGGGCAUUAGCUUUGUCCCACUCUACUCCCUGUGCCCAGGCAUGCUGUUGAGGCCUGAAGAGUGCUUCAGGGCAUCACCCAGUUCCCCAGGAGGCUAAGCUCACCUGGUGUGGGGACCUAUAGUGGCUGCCUAUGUUGUUACAUCCUGCUAAUUUGGGGGCCUCCAAUGAAUGCCGCCUCCCAGGAUUCACAUCUGGUGUAGUGCUGGCCCUGCCGCAUGCUUUUAACUACAGAAUAUAGCAAAGGCAGUGUGGUGGCAGUUCUGAGCCAAAGCCUUCAGGAAGACUAGCUGCUUCUCCUUUUUAACUGUGGGAAGCGCUUGGCUACUUUGCCAGAGUGAUAUUGUCAGGUGACUGCAUGGAGAGAAGGAGCCAGAGGACCAAACUCUGUGGAGAAGGGGAAGCUUAACCUCAGCCCCCAGCUGAACGAGCUUCACAAGACUAGCAAGACCAGCUGAAGACCUGCCCAGAGGCUCAGCCAAGAUGGAAGAAUCAGGAGCAAAUCAAAUGGCAGUGGUUUUGGAGUUCCCAUUGUGGCUCAGUGGUAACAAAACCUGAAUGGUAUCCGUGAGGAUGCAGGUUCCACCCCUGUCCUCACUUAGUGAGUUAAGGCUCAGGCAUUGCUGUGAGUUCAGCACCCGUAGCUCUGAUUCAGUGCCUAGCCUGGGAAGUUCCUUAUGCCGCAGGUGCGAC
rnacentral:lncRNA from 1 species